rnacentral:rRNA from 1 species
UACAGAGGGGGCAAGCGUUGUUCGGAAUUACUGGGCGUAAAGGGCGCGUAGGCGGCCUUCUAAGUCGAACGUGAAAUCCCCGGGCUCAACCCGGGAACUGCGUCCGAUACUGGAAGGCUUGAAUCCGGGAGAGGGAUGCGGAAUUCCAGGUGUAGCGGUGAAAUGCGUAGAUAUCAGGAGGAACACCGGUGGCGAAGGCGGCUACCUGGACAGAAACUGACGUGAGGCGCGAAAGCUAGGGGAGCAAACAGG